UGACAUACAUCUGUGUUUGUUACAACCUCGUGCUGAAAGGUUCAAGAAGAUUCAUUCAUUGCAGAAGUCACUAAACCGAGGUCUCAAUAGCAAGAUGAAAAAUCAGGAAGCACCAAAAGGAAAGGAGAUGAAUAUAAAUCGCAUGUUCUGGAAGUAAUCCCAUCAACAAAUGCAGCUCUUUUAUUUGAAAGAUAAGCAUUGUACUGCAAACUAUUUAAGAACCAAAUUCAAACAAGUUCUCAAGAGAAGCUAUUGUGGAUCAUUAUCCAUUUGUUGCACUUGACCAGAGUAUGCACAUUAAGGUCAUAAAGAAUCUUUUGGUUUUCAAUAAUGAUCUGAUUUUGACUGAAUUUGUAAUUAUCAAGACAAUCCUAUAAAUACAAUGACACAUACUACAAGAAUAAAUUGAGGUUACAUGAAGGUGGAUUCUCCAGGGCUGCUUGCUACCAUGAUGUGCUGCUAGUACAGAAAGUUGGAGCCAGCAUCACAGUUUAUGUGUAGCCCUCAUCCUGAGAGCCUCAGCGGAUUCAGACUGUGUUCCCAGGUGAGGGACACAUAAGAUCUUCCCACCAGGAGUGAGUGGCCUUCAUCAUUCUGGCAAAUUAAGAGCUUUAAUACUACUUGGCACAAAAUUCCUUUCCAAUGGAUGUAUCUUUUUUCAAAAAUGUCUGUUUUGGUUCUGAUAAUUAGUUAUAGAAUUGGCUGAAAUAAAGAUGUGUGAGUGGGAGUCACCUGUAAAAAUAUAUACUUGAAUGAUUUCCCUCUGAUGGGUCUGUUUGUUACCAUGGCAACAAUCUGUUCAAGGAUUUAAUGAGAAAA